UACGUAGGAUGCAAGCGUUGUUCGGAAUUACUGGGCGUAAAGAGUACGUAGGCGGUAUGGUAAGUCUGAUAUUAAAGACUGGGGCUUAACUCCAGGAGUGUAUCGGAAACUGCCAAACUAGAGGACAAUAGAGGAAGUCGGAAUUCUCAGUGUAGCGGUGAAAUGCGUAGAUAUUGGGAAGAACACCAGUGGCGAAAGCGGACUUCUGGGUUGUUACUGACGCUGAGGUACGAAAGCGUGGGGAGCAAACGGG
rnacentral:rRNA from 1 species